AUCUACAGGCUUAACACAUGCAAGUCGAGGGGCAUCAGGAAGAAAGCUUGCUUUCUUUGCUGGCGACCGGCGCACGGGUGAGUAACACGUAUCCAACCUGCCCUUUACUCGGGGAUAGCCUUUCGAAAGAAAGAUUAAUACCCGAUAGCAUAAUGAUUCCGCAUGGUUUCAUUAUUAAAGGAUUCCGGUAAAGGAUGGGGAUGCGUUCCAUUAGGUUGUUGGUGAGGUAACGGCUCACCAAGCCUUCGAUGGAUAGGGGUUCUGAGAGGAAGGUCCCCCACAUUGGAACUGAGACACGGUCCAAACUCCUACGGGAGGCAGCAGUGAGGAAUAUUGGUCAAUGGGCGCUAGCCUGAACCAGCCAAGUAGCGUGAAGGAUGAAGGCUCUAUGGGUCGUAAACUUCUUUUAUAUAAGAAUAAAGUGCAGUAUGUAUACUGUUUUGUAUGUAUUAUAUGAAUAAGGAUCGGCUAACUCCGUGCCAGCAGCCGCGGUAAUACGGAGGAUCCGAGCGUUAUCCGGAUUUAUUGGGUUUAAAGGGAGCGUAGGUGGACUGGUAAGUCAGUUGUGAAAGUUUGCGGCUCAACCGUAAAAUUGCAGUUGAUACUGUCAGUCUUGAGUACAGUAGAGGUGGGCGGAAUUCGUGGUGUAGCGGUGAAAUGCUUAGAUAUCACGAAGAACUCCGAUUGCGAAGGCAGCUCACUGGACUGCAACUGACACUGAUGCUCGAAAGUGUGGGUAUCAAACAGGAUUAGAUACCCUGGUAGUCCACACAGUAAACGAUGAAUACUCGCUGUUUGCGAUAUACAGUAAGCGGCCAAGCGAAAGCAUUAAGUAUUCCACCUGGGGAGUACGCCGGCAACGGUGAAACUCAAAGGAAUUGACGGGGGCCCGCUCAAGCGGAGGAACAUGUGGUUUAAUUCGAUGAUACGCGAGGAACCUUACCCGGGCUUAAAUUGCAGUGGAAUGAUGUGGAAACAUGUCAGUGAGCAAUCACCUCUGUGAAGGUGCUGCAUGGUUGUCGUCAGCUCGUGCCGUGAGGUGUUGGCUUAAGUGCCAUAACGAGCGCAACCCUUAUCUUUAGUUACUAACAGGUCAUGCUGAGGACUCUAGAGAGACUGCCGUCGUAAGAUGUGAGGAAGGUGGGGAUGACGUCAAAUCAGCUCGGCCCUUACGUCCGGGGCUACACACGUGUUACAAUGGGGGGUACAGAAGGCAGCUAGCGGGUGACCGUAUGCUAAUCCCAAAAUCCUCUCUCAGUUCGGAUCGAAGUCUGCAACCCGACUUCGUGAAGCUGGAUUCGCUAGUAAUCGCGCAUCAGCCUCGGCGCGGUGAAUACGUUCCCGGGCUUUGUACACUCCGCCCGUCAAGCCAUGGGAGCCGGGGGUACUUGAAGUACGUAACCGCAAGGAUCGUCUUAGGGUAAAACUGGUGA
rnacentral:rRNA from 1 species